rnacentral:misc_RNA from 1 species
CGAUUAUCUUAUACAUAUUCAACAACACAGCGUCCCAGGGCUCAUUUUUAGUUCAGUUCUCUUUCAGUUCGGUCAUAUACUUACUUUAGUUUUUUUAUAAUCUCUUUUGGUGUCAUUAUUUAAAUGUCUUCAAUAAUCAGACACAUCUCGUACAUCAUAGAUAUAGGCAUUCAUGAAAGUUGUGAAGAAUAUAAAUUAUGCUGAGCUGUGGUAUUCAUAAUAACGCGUGGCCUUAGAAUGUUAAUAGAAAAGAUUAAAAAAUGGCGGACACUAGGUACGAAAUCUAGAUAUAAAUUGUGCAUUAGAGAGAUCUCAGAGCUUUGACGGAAUAGGAAUUAGUGAAACGUACAACAGGAGUUAUUAUAGUGGGUGCAUACCAGUUAGUUAAGACAGUAUAGUGGAUGCAAUCCGAAACAGCGUUGGUUUGGCUGCAGCGAGAUGUAUCCGAUUGUUAACUUCUUAUAGUUCUAUAAAAAGUCUUAAAUUAUAUUCUUUGUAAAACAUUUCUACAAUCAUUUUGUCAAUUAUUGUUAUCUGUUUAUGAAUUAUCAUACAAUUCUUAUUGUUUAAAUUAAUUUAAUUAUUUCUAUUGAUGUACAAAUAGUAUAAAGUUGUAAGGUUAGGUUAGGUUAUGUGAAUUCUUCUAUUAUUUUUAGGGGUAGAGAUAGUUAUAUUAAAUGUUAAUCGUCUCGUUGUCUGUGCGUGUUUAGUAAUCAAGACGUCGUAGAUUUAUUUACAUAAAUGUGUUAGGGUAAUUUUAAAUUUUUUCUUUUACUAUUGUUUUAAUUUUAUUAAUUAAAACGAUAGUGAAUGCAACUAUCAUAAUUAAGGUACCGACGCGACAAGCGACGUGUUCAAAUAACGUUAGCUGUGUACUUGCAAGCGUCUCGAGCUUGACCGCGUAACCUCAACUUCUCAUACACUAGCUAACCGUAGACGGUACAUAGAACAAUGCAUCAUAUUGUACCGAUAAAACUCAAUAAGUUUUAGAAGAAAUAAGUCUUAGAAGAAUUAGAAGCUCUUACCCUGUGACGACAUACAUCCAAAGACAAGAAAUUCAAAAACAGUACUGUGUGAUGAUGAAAUUAUAAUAACAGUGAAUUCCGAUAUAUAGAUAUUCCGAGUAGGCAAAUAACUCGAAAUAUACUUAGUAUAAAUGUUAUAAGGUUACAUAAAUUUCUUGACAUAUGUUUUUAAAAACAUUAAAAUCGGUUUACACUUAUUUAGUUGCUGUUACGCCGUUCUUGCGGUGCCAUCCGUUUUUUGUAGUAACCACAGGUACAUUGUAACAGUAGGUAGUAAUGCACAAUAAUUAGUUCUACUGGAUAAAUAAUAUAACAGUAAAAUAGUGUAAAGAGUGUCUCUGAAAUGUUUUGUCAAUACAUAAAAGGUAGGUUUCACAUUUGUAAGUGUUUAACAAAUUUCUUCGUGUAUUAAUAUAUAAUUAUAGUUAGUAAACCUUUAUCGAAAGAGUUCAUAGCAUCUAUGUCUAUAUCCAUCUAUAUCAUCUAUAUAACCAUCUAUGUCUUUCUCUCUGUCCUAUCUGCUAAAAAUAGUAAAAAAUCUGUAGGCGUAUUUGUGGUUAAUCGAUAUCUUAUAUCUCACUCGACAAUUUAAUAAGUAAGGCGUGUAAUAAGGAAUAAUCUGACGAAUAACUAUGUUCAAUUGAUAGCUAACUACAAUAUACAUAUUAUAUUUCUUAUCUAUCAUCAAAUUUAAAUAAGAGUAGCCUUAGUUUUAGUCUGGAUCUCCAGCUUACCGAGUUUCAUUACAAUCCGUUACGUAGUUGUGCCGUAAAAGAGUAACAAACAUUCAACCAAUCUCACAAACUUUUUCAUUUUUAUUAUUAUUAGAUUAAAGACUGUAGACUAACUUUGUCGAAAAUUAGGGAACAGGCCGUUAACCGAAAUUUGCCUAAUACUUACCUUAUAUAACGUUGGACAUAAUUAUCCGCAAAUUCCACCGAUACUAAUAGUCAUUUAAAUAUGUACUCCUAAAAAUGUGCUUAUAAUUAAUUAAAAUUGUUUUUUUUUCUUAGGUUACUAGUAGGUUAAUAAAUUGUUUAAAAAUAAUCUAUACAAAUAAAUAAAAUUGGAGUCUGUUAGUAAUAUUAAAAUAACCGCUUUUUCAGCCGUGUCCGCGACUUCAUCUGCGUGGAAUUUAACAAAAAAGUUACUGUUCAGUUCGUAGAGUUAUAAAAUAAAUAAAUUCCUAAAAUAAAAGUAGCCUAAGUUACUCCUUACUAUAUCAGCUAUCUGUCAGUGAAAGUCCGUCAGCCGUUUCUGAGAUUAGCUGGGACAAACAGACAGACAGACAGACAGACAGACAGACAGACAGACAAAAAUUGUAAAAAGUGUUAUUUUGGUAUGUGUACCGUGUAAACAUCUAUAUGCAUUUAGUAAAAAGCGGUUAUUUUAAUAUUACAAACAGACACUCCAAUUUUAUUUAAUUGUAUCGAUAAUUGAGAUAUUUUAAAAUCGUUCUACUCAACUUAACAUAAUAUUUAAUAACGUGUAGGUCAAAGCCAGAAUUUUAUAAUAAAGCGUAGUUUAUAAAACGAUACGCGUCGUCUUUGUUAUUAAGAAAUAUUUAUCUAUGUAUUAAUCAAGUUAAUAAUGUAAUAAUGUAUUGAAUAUCACUUCGUUAUAAAUUUAAGUCUUUUUUAAGAACAAACACAUUUAUAAUAUUUGAAAGUAGUAUUUUGUUGGAAUUUCUUAUUGAUGCGACAGCUGUUGCACAUUUUUUUAGAAAAUAAAAGAAAAAUAAAUAAAUAAUUAAUCUCGAUUGUAUACGUUGAAGUCACCAUAAAUACAUUCAGUGUGUGCUAUAAUCGAUCCUUAUCCACAAAUAUCUAUUACGUUAAAACCAGGAAAUCCAGUUAGAUAUAGGAAAUGAAAACUAUCGUAAAGAUAAAAAAAUCAUGGUCAGUGAUAAAAAUAGAUAAGUAAAUAGAUAAACUAUAUUAAUCUCCUUUUUUGAAAAGAGAUAACUACAAAACGCUAUUUUUUUGUUUUAAUUAUUAUUAUUGUAAACAAACAUUCAUUCUACUUGUGUUGUCUGGUGGUUCAUUAAUAAAUUUUAAAAAGGCUUGUAUUAUUUUAAAUAAAAUGACUUAAGUGUUUAAUUUUAUACGUUUUUUGAAAAUAAUAAUAAAUCAUAGUCUGAGGUCUCUAGGUGUAGGUGAGAAAAUGUGUUUAUUACAUAUUAUGUACUUAGACUUAUGACAGGAUAUGUAAUGUAAAAUAUUAAUUUUUAAUAUCUAAAGCAUUAAUAUGGUAAUCUAGCAUACGGUAAUUUUUAUUACGUAUAAGUAUUAUCAGUGUUCAAUAUUAAACACUUUCUAUCGCAAAAGGCAAAAAAAUCAGUAGUUGUAUAUAAUUACGAGCCAUCCAUAAAUUACGUCACACGAAUUUCUCGAUUUUUUACCCUUCCUCCGCCCCCACCUAGUGUGACGUCACAUAUUUUGCUAUUUCACACCUAUAAAUUGUUAUUUAUUAAAUUAAAACACCGGUUUCAACAUUAUUUUUAUUUCCUAUUAUCAAUAAAAUCAUCAUCAAUCCAACGUAGAUAUGAAAAAUAAAGUUAUUUUUAUAUUAAAAAUUACAUGAAUAUGUUAUGAAAAUAAUGUGAUGCUACAACAUUUUGGGUCCCUCGCCUCCCCUUGUCACACAAUGUCACACAAUGUCACACAAUGUCACACAAUGUCACACAAUGUCACACAAUGUCACACUUGGUGGACCGCCUACCUCCCCCUUACGGUGUGAUGUAAUUUAUAGAUGGCCCUUUAGACAUAUAGAUAUAAGCGUAUUUUAGCGUAUAGUAAAUAUGCACGUGUAACUUCCUUAAAUUAGAAGAUCAAUACUUCGCACAAAUAUAUCGCUAUAAACGUAAUAAUUAUUAAAAUAUACUUAAUUUUAAAAAUUUAGACUAAUAUUAUGUGUUAACAAUUUUAAUCAGACUAACAUAGAUCAGUAUUAAAUUAUUAAAAAAACUAUUCUGCUUGUUAGUAUUUAGUGAUCAAAUAUAUUAUAACUACUAGUGAUUUGAAUAAUAUCAAUAACUAUUUACCACUAGUAGUGCUCUUUCAGAUAUAGGUAGUUACAUGUUUAUGCUCAACGUUAAAAUAUAUUUAACGCUAUCCAUUUUAAGUUCUUCGAUAUAGUCAUCUUUCAUAAUUCCGUUAAAUGAAUUAUACGAUUACUUUAAAUUUUCAGUAAUUUCAAAUUCUAAUCUAAUACUAUUAAACGAGUAAUCCUUAUGUAUAUAUAUAAUCUGAAUCUCGGAAAUGACUCCAACGAUUUUCAUGAAAUUUAGUAUAUAGGAGGUUUCGGGGGCGAUCAAUCGAUUUAGCUAGGAUUCAUUUUUAGGAAAUGUCAUUUUAUCCCUGUUUUUAGGCAGUGAAAAAAUGGCUACAAUAUCGUUAGAAUACAAAGGUUAAUUUCGCAAUUGUCAAUAAAGUUGUAAAAGAAGAAGAAGACGUGAUUCAAAUCCCCAUGUCUCCAGAUCUGUUGUAAUUUUUUAUUAUUAUGUCGGUAAAAUCGGCAAAUAUUAUUCAUAUUUUAUCAAUAUGUAAUUCGUAUUUAAAUAUGAUUUAAGUGAAUAAUAUAGUAGAGAAACAUUGAUAGUUUUUGCAACAGCGAAGCCGAGGCGGUUCGCUAGUAUGUAUAAAUUAGAAUAUAUUUAGACUCUUUAGAUUGCGUAUGUUGCGUAGAUUUUGAAAGUAAGUCAUUAAAUAAUAUUCGAUGACGAUGAUAAUCAAUUCACCAAAGUUAUGGUAAUAAUUUUAAGCAAGUCAUUUUAAGAUAGCUGAAACAAUGCUGAAAUUAGAGAUAUGUGGGUAUAUAUUAGUAAUAUACUAAAUUGCUCGAUGUGUAAAUUCUAAUUCGAGUGUUUUUUUAACUUUUAAAUGAGGUAUCAUCAUAACUUUUACUCGGUGUACCGAUUUUGAUGGUCAUUUAUUUUAGACAAAAGCUUGCGUCUGUCCCAUUUAAAUUUGAGUGAGAUCGGACGAGUAGUUUUUGAAUUGAAGUAGUUUGUUUUUAUGUUUGAAAUUAGUAAACACAUUAUUAUGUUGCAGUUUGAGCGUGUGUUUUAUAAACGUAAAAUAAUUAAAAAAAAAAGACGAAAAUAAGUUCAAAAAUAUACAUACAUCGUACAUCGUCAAGCUCGUAUAGCUCGUAGAGUCGUAAGUGUCAAUUUUUUAAACAUACACAAAAGCGUCUACACGUUUCAAAUUAAUUUGUGUAUCAAAAUUAAUAAUUCAUAAUUUAGUAAAAUAUUUUUUAAUAAGAUAAUAAUAUUAUUAUAUAAGUUUAAGAGAAUGUAAAUAAUUAAAUAUGGCAGUUUAGAUGUAAAGGAGACAGAAAAAUUUGGUCAAAACCGCUAUAGAAGUGAUACAAACAAGUUUUCGAAGCUUAGAAUAUUGUAUAAUUGUUUUGCAAAUGAAUUGAAUUGCAAUGCAAUGAAUGAAUAAUCUUAGCAGCUUCUUCGGUAGCCUUAAAUAAAUUUACUUAAUAUUUAAUAACGUAAGUUGUUUUUUGUCAUCUGUGCUUAUUACAUCGUGUCUUCGCUGACACACAAAAUGUUAAGACGAAUUCACACUACUUCCUCCAAGUAAGGACGCUCUGAGGCAUGCUGUCGGUACAGCUACCAGCUACAUCUGUGAUCAAGAUCUUUUUACUUUCUCAACAUCUUUUCAGGAAUUUUUACUAGCUCCUUCUCAUUCGACUUUUCUCAAUUGUAAUCGAUACGCCAGCGGAACUGGUUUGUAUUGUCUCCGUUUGGACAAAACAAAAAAGGAUAUUUUAACAUUAAUAUAGUUAUAAGCUUAUAGGCAAGACAAUUUAGAGGCACUCUUUUCCUUUCUUUCCUGUUGUAAUAAGUAACGUCUACUUAAUAUUUUUUUGUUUAUUUUAGCCACUUAUCUAAAGACGUACAAGAGGAAAAAAAUUAAAUAAUAAUAGCGGGUCAACGAACGAGAACGGACGAAUAUUUUUUUUUUUAAUAUUUUCAUUACAAUUAUUUCUAUCUUUUAAUACGAUAUACGUAAUUAUUUGUCGUGAAAAAUAUUUAAAUUCAAUUUUAAAUAUUUAAAUUAAAUUUUAGAUUAAAAAUCGGAGUAAUUGUUUAAUGUUUUAAUAUAUAAGCGACUAGCCAACCCGUGCCCACUUCGUGAUGCAAAUAUAUAAUAAAGUUUUCAUCACGCUCCCAUUUCUCCGACUUGAUUUACAUAUACUAUUAUUUUUUACUGAAUUUAUUGUUCAAUAACAAUAAAAAUAGCCUAUAUCACUCCUGAAUAGUAUAGUUUUCUGUUAGUGAAAGAAUUUUCAUGUUCGGAUCAGUAUUUGCGAAGAUUACCCCCUACAAACAAACAAAGCUAGAAACUUUACCUCUUUAUAAUAUUAGUAUAGAUUACGUUUUAAUAUACGAUUGGUGUUAAUUGUAAUUACAAAAACUUAUAAAUAAAAUUAUAUAAUUACUUCUAAACUUGUGUUUUUAUCUUGUAAUGCACAUCUUAAACAAGGAUUAAUAAAAUUGUAACGAUUUCAGUGACUAUUAAAAUGUUUUAUUUUUCCAUCCGUA